GGGUUAAAAUUUUGAUUUAAAGCUAAUUAAUUGUCAAUUUCUACUUGUUGGAGUAUUGUGUUUUGAGUUUACUCUUGUUAACAGAAUUCUCCAAAGGAAAACAUCAUUCUGUUUGGAAUCUGUUGAAGUCAAAUUUUCAUCAUAGGGCUGUCAGAUACUGCGUUAAUGGACAUGGUUGUCUCAAAUCUUCAACAGCAACGAGCUAUCGUUCAACAACUCAGAAGAGAAGCUGCCUUUAAAAGGAUGCCUGUGUCAUUAGCAGUUGCGGAUAUCAUCAAGUACAUAACAGAGCACGAACAAGAUGACUGCUUACUUGUGGGAUUCUCAAGUCAACGAGUAAAUCCUUUCAGAGAAAAAACUCCAUGUUCUAUUUUGUAAUUUAAAAUGACUAAAUUAUUCCUAGAGUUAAGUUGUAUGUAAAGGGUUGCUUCCCUAAUUAUUUUCACUGCAGAUUGCCAAAUACAUCAACUUACAAGACUGACGUGAAAAUUGUUUAGGUCCAACUUUUAAAACACCUCUUGGCCAGCAUUUCGAAGCUUUACCUUGUAUCUAUAAUAAAUAUUAGAAUUAUUCAAAGAUUUGAAACUCAGGUAGGACUCAAGUCUUUUAUUCAAUUGUAAAAAUGGAAAAGCUCUACUCUAGGGAUGCUAAAUAUUUUAUUUAAUGCGAUCUGUCCAAUAAAUUAUCUAUGAAUUUAAUAAAGUCUACAUUUA